CAGCGUUCUUGGGUGAAAACAGGAAGCAGCUGCCGAGCCUAAGACACAUCCAACCCAGCAGGAGCCAGAACCUUCCGAACAGGCGUGAAUGAGCCUGGGGAAGAGAGCCCAGAGGCUCGCGACUCAGAGCCCCGAGAAACUCCCACCUGAACACCUGGAGACAAGACGGUCUGUCAGCCGGCCAAGGGCACGUCCAGGAGGACAUCAGCUACGACAUGCCGCUUCAUUUUUACCACUAAAGGUUUGUGGUGACCUUGUUUUGGUAAAUCUGUCAGCACCUUUUUUCAACAAUUCAAGUGAUUUUUUUUUCAACAAUAAAUCUUUUAAGUCUAACUAAGGUACUUUUUGUGGGGGGACACUGGGGAUUGAAGUCAGAGGUACUUGACCACCAAGCCCCAUCCCCAGCCCUAUUUUGUGUUUUAUUUAGAGACAGGGUCUCAUUGAGUUGCUCAGCACCUUGCUUUUGCUGAGGCUGGCCUUAACUCACGAUCCUCUCGUCUCAGGCCUGCUGGGAUUACAGGCCUGUGCCACCGCGCCCAGCUGAUUACGGUAUUUUUAAGAGACAAUGCUUUCGCAUACUCACUACUCUAUGGUACAGCGGGAACAUGACUCCUGUGCACCGGGAAACUAAGUGUGGGACUUGCUUAAUGUCCACGUUUGCUUCACUACAACCAUAGGACCGCCUGCCUUCCAACCCCUGUGCAGAAUAUCAACCGCAUCCUCCACUCUCCGCAGAGGCAGCGUGUCCCCCAGUCUCACAUGGCACCCUGGUCUCAGGAAGGGGUGCCUCUGCCCCCACCCCUCUGGCAACGUCUGGAGACACGUUUGGUUGGCACCACUUCCCAGAGGGUGCUUCUGGGCAUGGAGUGGGUGGAGGCCGGGGCUGCUCAGCAUGUCAGUGCCAGAUGGCCCAACUCCAGAGGAUGAUCCUGUCCCCAACACGCCCAAGGGACGAGUGAACAAUCCUCCAGGGGGCCAGAGCCACAAUUCUUAACUCUGGAGCAUAUUUCAAAUGGCCACUAGAGGUCAGAUGAGGCCACAAGGUACCUGGGACCACAUGAGCUAAAGGGACAUCCUUCCACUCUCCCUGCUGUCCCCAGCGUGGGCUUCCCCAGCUCUCGGCCUCCCCUCCUCCAGGACCGCCCUCCUUUCAUUAAGAUACACAUGGAAGGGAAACGUCCCUUAACGUGAUUCAGUGCGUGACAUUCCUUUGCUCUUGCUGUGUCACCAAAUAAAAAAUUCUCCGUCUGGAUCAGUGUCCCCGCAUGGAGUGGGAACUGCCAGAGUGGGACACCCUGCUGAGUGUGGCUUGGACGCCCAGCACGGGCACAGUAGGUGAGCGAUGACGGGGAACCGAGGCACGAGGCCCCGUCCAGGAGCGACUCCUUGAUUGGCGUUUUAGGAAGUGUUAGUUAAGAUUUCCCCACAUUUGUGCCCGGAUUCCGUUCCCGAGUGAAGACGUUUGAUCAGUGGAUUUGUGAAGCGCCCAGUCUCAGCAAGCAGCCCACCACAUGCAGAAAGCCACAGAAAACCCCGAGACCUCCAAGGUCACCACAGCCCCUGCCCGCCUGGCCCACAGGCCUGGCACUGAAGAGCCACAGGGCCACUUGGACGUCUCCCGGGCGAGUCGUACCUAUGAUCCUCGGCACUACUGCCUGAAGAGGUUUUUCUGUGAAAACAAAACCAACCACUUUGAAGGCAGGUGGACUUCACCAGGUGGGCCUGCUGACCGACACCCCGUCGGAGGCCUGGUCCUAGGCGAGCGAGAGCUCUGCUGGCUUCGGAUGCGGUCUGAGUGUGUCCCCCAGGUUCACAUGCUGGGGUUUGGUCCUCAACAUGGUGAUAAGAGGUGACGCCUAGUGGGAAUUCACUACUGCUCCUCCCCGUCUGUCUCUGGCUUCCUGUCUCACCAUGUGACCUCUCUCCCACACUCCUACGAUGCAUGAUGCCAUCCACCAUGAUAGGAGGUGGCCAAGAGGGUCUGGAUCAUGGGGCUAGCUGAUCUUGGACUUGCAGCCUCCAAAACUGUGAGCAAAAUAAACCUCUUUUCUUUCCAAAAGACCCAGCCUUGGGAGUCCUGCCCUUGACCUCCCAUCACUGAUUGGUACCUUCCUCAACAAGUGCAGGGAAGCCAACAAACGGGAUGGGGAGCCAGAGGAAAUACUCCCCAGAGACUCGGUCUUCUGGGACUCCUUUAGGGUGUUGAAUCUGGUGACACUUUCCCUCAACCAACUUAGCCAUUUCCCCAAGUCCAGCGCAUUUUGUUUUUAAUGAGUAAACAGUAAGUGCUUUGAUGCCUGGGAGGCACCACUGGAUGCUCUUUUGGACCCGGGGUCAUAGGGGAAAAAUGCAAAGAGGACGACACGAAAGCAGCAGCGUUCACACUCUGAAGGUUCUGGGAGACGUCUGCUCGGUGGGCAGCACUGGUCAGUGCUGGGACGGACAUUAUUUUAGAACUCUGUCCCAGGCCAAGCCCCCUGGGGUUUGAUCCACUCUGGAAAAGGACAAUUGCGUCAGGCAGUUCUGGGUGGCCGCCUGCUCAAGUCCUGGGGGAAGGACAAAGGAUGGAGAGACGAGGAUGCUGAGGGACAAAGUGACAUAGCCUCAUCAAGCCAGUUCACAGAAGGGCAGGGAGCCCAGCUUUCCAGAGGGGCUUCCAGAGUCCCUGCCACCCACUGCUCCACAGCUCUACCGACACUAACGCCGAGAAGGGUGCGUGGGGGAACGCUGCAUCCACAGGUGUGUGUCUGCCACCUGGGACUUUCCUUGCAGGAAAGGAAAACAAGCGGAUUUAAAGCUUCGAGUGAUAUUUGCUGCGUGCCUCCUCUGGACGCCAGAGACACCUCAUCCAGUGCCUCUCCUCACUUAAGGAAAUUCAACCUAUUUAAAUAGAAGCCUCUGGGCUUUGAGGAUCUCUGGAACAUUCCAAAAGGAUGAAUCUUACAUGAAUUCAGAAAGAGGGGAGGGACCGAGUUUGAGAUUUAGCAGUAAAUCAAGUAUGGGGUGCAGGCAGGCAUUUCUCAAGCUUUGCCUAAUAAUCAAAUGGAAUUUGCUUCACAACUAGGGUGGAGAAUGAUGCAGUAAGAAAGGUAAAUGUCAGGUUAUAUAAAUUUUCCCUUUUGUGCGAUUAUUUACUCUUGUUGGAAGUGGUCCCAUUGAAAUCUCAAGGGUUUUUUUUUUUUGUUUUUUCCCUUAACUGGGAAUUGAACCCAGGGAGCCACAACCCCAGUCCUUUUUGAGACAGGGUCUCACUAAGUUACUGAGGCUGGCCUCAAACUUGUGAUCCUCCUGCCUCAGCCCCCCAAGUGCCUGGGAUUCCAGGUGUGCACCACCACCUGGUAAAAUCACAAGAUUCUUUUUGCUCCAUCCAGGAGAGGCUCAGCUCACAUUCCACCCACGUCCACCUCCUCUCGUUCUGUAAGUAUUGACCCUGAACAUCAAGCCAAGAGACACCAAGAGAACCUGGGGCUGUAAGAGGCCUAACCUGGGGACGAAAACGACAUUGUGCAGGUAAUCCUCAAAGGUCUUCCGAAACGAGGACUCCUCCAGCUCCUUCAGAAUCUGAGAGUCGGUCUUCGGGCAGGUGCAGCACUCCCCGGCCGAGUCCUCGUACUCGCUCUGAUUGUGCUUCUGAGAAUCGUCCGACUCGAACGGCGGGGACCACGUGCGCGAGGGCAGCUUCAAGCCUAAGGGAGGCAGAGCCAGAGGUUCAAGCCUCCCCCAAAACACACACUCACACAGAGCAAAGGGGUCUUCUCAGAGAGGCUGGACACAGGUGACAGGGCCCAGGGUCCAGCUCCUCUCUCUGGAGGGACUUGCCAGUGUCCACUGGGAGAGCACGUCAGUGUGUUUUAGAAACUGACACCAACGUCGCGGGGCUGGAGAGUGUUAGGGAUCUAGGAAAAGCCUCCAUGCUCUACAAUAAACCAGUAAACCAGGGUCAGAUGGCACAGAAGGGCCAAGGGUGACCGCAGGUGCCAUACGGAACAGUCUCAGAGAACAAAACUGCUGAGCCAGUCUGAAUUCAGCCACACACACAACUUGAUGGAAAGCGAUUCAGUUGGUACAAAGAGCAAGUGCAAAGGCCCCGAGUCAGAGGUGUCCUUGGCAUAUGGAAAAUGCAAGGGACCCAUGUAUCUAGAGUGGGGCGAGGGAAAGGACAGGGGGAAACAGGGCUGUCACAGUAGAGAGAACAAACGAAUCCAUCAGCCACGCAAAUGUAAGUGGUGAGAAGAUAAAGCCAAACUCCACCCAGAAUUCCAGGGGUCCACUGGUGGAUUUAGAGUCAGACUUGACCAGCGGUCCCCACCUGAGGGGUUAUUCUCACCCCGCCCUGUAAACACCAUGCAGCCUCAGGAGACAUCCGGGGAGUCCCACCUGGACUGGGGGUGCCCAUGAGUGGAGGCCAGGGAUGCUGUCAACACCCCACAAUGCUCAGGAAGGCCCCUCCGCAGAAAAUGGCCAGCCCCCCACAUCCAGAGUGCCAUGGUCGAGGACUCCCUGAACUAAGGCCAGAGGGAAGUCGGCAUUCGAAACCUCUCAGAUGGAUGGAGGACCUUGCAGCAAACAAGACUAAAGACUGAGAAAACAACUGCAUGAGCAUAAAGUGUUGGCGGAAGGCACAGGAGCAGAGAGCGCUGACCACUCCUUGCCGUUUCCAGCCCUUUAAACCCGGGAACCAGAGUCCCUCCCUGGCUUGGCUUAGGACCUCUCUGCAAGCCCAGCUGCCUCUGGUUUGGCAGAGAAUCUCGGGUGGUUCACACAGUGACACAGGGUGGAGGGGGAGGAAGGGGAAGCAGAGACCCCCAGGGGAACAUGGUGCCAAGACAUAAAAGACAAGAGUCGAGCACCACUGAGCACCAGGACCCUGAGAAAGCAUCCUUGGGGACCUUGAGGACCCCAUGGUGUGUGACUGCGCAGUGUGCUUACACGUGCCAAGGCGGCCACUACUUCUCGAGGUGGCAUCAUCUCAUGGGAACCCUGUCCUACCCUGGCUCACUGUUAAAGGGAACAUCAUCACGUGACCCUGACUGCACCUGGUUUUGACACCAGUCUUCAGAGUGUCUAGUUGCAUAGUGUUUAAAGAUGUGGAUUUUCUUAGUGUGCAAGAGAACAAUGCGCGCGUGCACCCUGGGAAGCAGGAGACAGCACCUGUGUCCCCCAUAAGUGUCACACGGCGUGGCCAACCCACCACGGCUGCCCGUACUCACCUUUGAGACAAUAAUCCAACUCGUACAGCUCACUGUCUUCCUCCUGCCUUUCCCAGUAAACCAGGUAGUGCGUGAUGUUGCCGUUGGGGUCCGAGGGGGGCUUCCACUUCAAGAUGAUCUGAGACGAGGAAUUCGAAACCGAGAUGGGAUCCAGGGGGACGGAAGGAUCUGCGAGAGAGAAGGAAGCAGGCCGACCGUGAGGAGCAGCAGGCUGCCGGGUGCACCAAGAGGGGAAGGGACACCCAAGUUACAGGACCGCGAGGCAGCGGCUGCAGUGUGUUUAACAUCGGAGAAAACUGCCAACACAAGGAACGCUCGCCAGGCCAGGCCAGGCGAGGGUCACCAAGUCACAGUCCACUUGCACUACAGAUGGCGUGGCCACAUUCCCCCACUGACUUAAUGAACAUGGAUGGAGCCCCAGCAGGCGCCAAGCUCUGAGCUGAGCACUGGGAAGAUGCUGCUGGGGAAGAAGGACCCUGGGAAGAGACCAACAGACUCAUGCUACUGGUUCCAGUUGGCUCCAAAGUGAACCUGGUCCCUGGGCAAACUUGAAGCCACCAGCUGUCAUCCAACAUCCCCCACAAUGCACAGCGUUAGGCUCCACAAACCAUUCCCCUCAAAAACGAGGUGACCUAGGGAGUUGGGGAGGGAGGGGGCACUCAAGGUGGAGACAGCAGAGUGUACAAGGGACCCAGAUGCUGGAAGUUUCUAGAAACUCAGCAUGUGGCAUCGAUGGGAGACGGGCUGCAAGUGGACCAGCCCAGGAAGCAGUGUUGACUUGAAAGCUUGCCUUGUUCCCCAUGGGGCAAGGGUGCUCGCUUUCCGCCCUACGGACGCUGGGGCUGGACGAGGCUCUGUCACAGGGAGCCGUCGCCGGUCUCCCCACCCCCAGGUGGGACAACCACCCGCGCCAGCAGACACUGCCUAGCGCUCCCUGGAGAGGCAGAAUCGUCACUCUUUGAGAACGGCUGCUGUGGGAGAAAGACUUGGGUUUUGCAAAACUAACUUAAUUGCUAGGAAACAUCCCAGUAAAAAAAAGACAAUUAGAGGAGGAGGAGGAACGAAGGGGAGAAAAACGGUAAAAAUGGCAAAUCAUGGAAGCCGGGGACAGUCAGCCAUUCUUUCUAGCUUUGCAAAUGUUUGAAAAAUUUACUAGAUUGAAAAAAUAAACGAUUGCCCCCUUA